rnacentral:rRNA from 1 species
GACGAACGCUGGCGGCGUGCUUAACACAUGCAAGUCGAACGGAAAGGCCUCUUUCGGGGGGUACUCGAGUGGCGAACGGGUGAGUAACACGUGAGUAACCUGCCCUUGACUUUGGGAUAACUUCAGGAAACUGGGGCUAAUACCGGAUAGGAGCUCCUGCUGCAUGGUGGGGGUUGGAAAGUUUCGGCGGUUGGGGAUGGACUCGCGGCUUAUCAGCUUGUUGGUGGGGUAGUGGCUUACCAAGGCUUUGACGGGUAGCCGGCCUGAGAGGGUGACCGGCCACAUUGGGACUGAGAUAAGGCCCAGACUCCUACGGGAGGCAGCAGUGGGGAAGCUUGCACAAUGGGUGGAAGCCUGAUGCAGCAACGCCGUGUGCGGGAUGACGGCCUUCGGGUUGUAAACCGCUUUCGCUCAUGACGAAGCUUUGUGUGACGGUAGUGGGUAAAGAAGCACCGGCUAACUACGUG